GUCCACGCCGUAAACGAUGGAUACUAGGUGUGGGAGGUUUAACUCCUUCCGUGCCGCCGUUAACACAUUAAGUAUCCCGCCUGGGGAGUACGGUCGCAAGAUUAAAACUCAAAGGAAUUGACGGGGGCCCGCACAAGUAGCGGAGCAUGUGGUUUAAUUCGAAGCAACGCGAAGAACCUUACCUAGACUUGACAUGUCCUGAAUUACCAGUAAUGUGGGAAGUCCCUUCGGGGACAGGAACACAGGUGGUGCAUGGUUGUCGU
rnacentral:rRNA from 1 species